AACUUGUCAGAAGUAUCUUCAGCCUCCUUCAAGCCUGAGCUUAGAUUCAUCGUUGCGUGGCAUCAAUGGGAACUAUAAGUAAAAUAAGAAACUGCAGGAAUAUGCCAUGUGUUCUAUCCUUCAUUCCACCGGAGUCUGUAUCUGUAUUUAACCAGAUUUCAGUGGUUUGAAGUGUAAAAGACAUGGACGCAUGACUACAGGAGCCGACCACAAAGAAUCCCUUUAGUUUGUUCCUGUUAUUUAAUGAUAAUCAUCCGUUUUUAACAAAGUAUUACAGAUUUCUUUUUUUUGCUGCAUUUUGUGCUACAUAUGCAAGCCUUGGAUUGGAUUAUUUUGUGAAAACUGUGAUGUGACAUGAAUAAAAUUCCUGACCUCCUG